rnacentral:rRNA from 1 species
AACGAACGCUGGCGGCGCGCCUAAUACAUGCAAGUCGAGCGAGAAGACGUAGCAAUACGUUUGUAAAGCGGCGAACGGGUGAGGAAUACAUGGGUAACCUACCCUCGAGUGGGGAAUAACUAGCCGAAAGGUUAGCUAAUACCGCGUACGCUCCUUGGACUUCGGUUCAGGGAGGAAAGCGAUACCGUGGGUAUCGCGCUCUUGGAUGGGCUCAUGUCCUAUCAGCUUGNGGUGAGGUAACGGCUCACCAAGGCUUCGACGGGUAGCUGGUCUGAGAGGACGAUCAGCCACACUGGCACUGCGACACGGGCCAGACUCCUACGGGAGGCAGCAGUAAGGAAUAUUGCGCAAUGGGCGAAAGCCUGACGCAGCGACGCCGCGUGGGGGAUGAAGGUCUUC